ensembl:antisense C920021L13Rik RIKEN cDNA C920021L13 gene
GAAGCUACGCUGCAGGGCUCAGCCGACUGCAGCUCCGCUUACCGUCUGACCUUGCGAAGGUUCGGUGCUGAGCGCAGGCGCUGGACUUUCCGCCUGACAGUCAAAGGAACAGCGUCCUCACCUUCCUAUGGAGGAGUCGCGGUCGUCGGGUCUGCGAGAAGGUGGAAGAGUAUAGGAUGUUACAAGUGUGGAGGUCAAAGGACAACUCUUGGAAUCUCUUCUAUCCUAUCACGUCGGUCUCAGGCAUCAAACAUGGGCCAGCUCCUCAGACUUGGCAGCCUUUACUUGAAGAGCCAUCUUACUGCUCAAAAAAGGUCUUUCUGGUUGGUCCUGCUUCCAUCCAACAUCCCCACAGGCGGCCUAUUCGGAUUUUUUUCUCCUCCUCCUCCUGUCCUGCAAGGAAGCUUCCUGUCCCCUAACUCCACAUGGUGAAAACAUAAUUCUCCAAUUACCUAUGCAGGCCCUUGCACAUUUUUUUUUCCUGCUUUAUACUGUCUCCCUCUGUAGACUCUCCUGUCAUACCCAAGACACCAAAAAUAGCUAUUUGUUCUGAGGUUUUUCCUUUGGCAGCUUUCACUCUUACCUUAACGGUAAUGAGUCUAAGUUCAUGUCUCCUUACAGAACACCACACAAGCCAAAGCUGCAUCAGUCUCAAGUUACAUCUAAAACAAAAUCCGGAUUGGCAAAACAGCUCAGCAGGUCACGAGCCCUAGGAUCUGCCUGGGUAAGAGAUGUCAUACCGUCCUCCUCCUCAAUCCCCAUUUGACUCACUGGUUCUGUGGUCACUGGUUCUGUGGUCACUGGUUCUGUGGUCACUGGUUUCGUGGUUACAGGAUUCUGAGGGUCCAUAAGUUCUGUAUGAAGACUGUAUGAAGAGGCUGUAGUCUCUACCGCUUCUGUUGUUGUUACCUCCUUAUUCAACCUGUUCUGCCCUCGGUAGGAUUGGGAAACAGUUAUCAUUUCUUCCAUACAGUAUCUCCAUAGAUGCUCUAGUUAAGAGUUUUCCAUCUUUUCCUACAAGCAAGCCUCCUAAUCAACCCCACAGGCUCAGGGAUGUCUGGGCCUGCUGCUAGUACAGAUUGAGUAUGUAUGUAUUCCAUUCAUCAAUUCCCUUAACUGUCCCUCCUCCGUGUAUUAGUAAGCCUACUAGGUUCUGGCUUCCUUCUCCCAGCUAUAGUUAAAGAUCUAUUUGUGACCCACAUCCUAGUUUCUAUCUAUCAGAUUUUCUUUUCUCCUUCCUUCCUUCCUUCCUUCCUUCCUUCCUUCCUUCCUUCCUUCAUUCCUUCUUUCCUUUCUUUUCCCUUGAGACAGUCUUACUAUAUAGUCACGGUUGAAUUGGAACUUGCUAUGGAGACCAGGUUGACCUAGUACCCAUAGUACUCCUCCUGCCUCUGCUUCCCAAGUGCUGGGAUUAUAGAACUGGACUACCACACCCAGCCUCACAUUUUAGCACUUCCCUGUUUCUGUUUUAGUGUUAUUUGUCCUGGUAGAGAAGUCACUCACCAACCUAUCCUCUGACUCAAACACGGAGUAAUCAACAGUGAAGUUUACACUGAAGUCAUCUGGAGAAGAGAAAAAGAAACAAGUGAAAGGGGAAGAAACUUCACACUCAGGAUCCUUACAUUGCGUUGUAUUGGUACAACCUACAUUGUAAAGUGUAUUGGUGUAACAUACUUCUAGUUAGCUGUAGUGUUAAAAUAUUUGUGAAUUUGAGCCGGAGAAAUAAAUGGCUGAACAGUU